rnacentral:rRNA from 1 species
AGCCAUAAGCUAUUAUUUAUGGUUUAACCUGCCCAAUGUGAAUAAAGUAAUAAAUGGCCGCGGUACCCUGACCGUGCUAAGGUAGCGUAAUCAGUUGGCUUUUAAAUGGAGUCAGGUAUGAAUGGGAGAACCGGGUUUAGCUGUCUCUUAAUUAUUUUCUUGAAUUUACUGUUUAAGUGAAAAAGCUUAACUAAAGAAGAGGGACGAGAAGACCCUUAGAAUUUAUUCAAAGGUAAAUUAAAUUUAUAACGAUUUUGUUGGGGCGACAAAGAAAUAUGUCAUAACUUUCUCUUUUAUACAUGCCGAUUAUAUUAAGUAAGAAAAAAUUACCUGAGGGAUAACAGCAUAA